rnacentral:rRNA from 1 species
CCUACGGGAGGCAGCAGUGAGGAAUAUUGGUCAAUGGACGCAAGUCUGAACCAGCCAUGCCGCGUGCAGGAAGACGGCUCUAUGAGUUGUAAACUGCUUUUGUACGAGGGUAAACGCAGAUACGCGUAUCUGUCUGAAAGUAUCGUACGAAUAAGGAUCGGCUAACUCCGUGCCAGCAGCCGCGGUAAUACGGAGGAUUCAAGCGUUGUCCGGAUUUAUUGGGUUUAAAGGGUGCGUAGGCGGUCGGAUAAGUUAGAGGUGAAAGCCCGAGGCUCAACUCGGGAAUUGCCUGUGAUACUGUUCGGCUAGAGAGUAGAUGCGGUAGGCGGAAUGUAUGGUGUAGCGGUGAAAUGCUUAGAGAUCAUACGGAACACCAGUUGCGAAGGCGGCUUACCAGGCUACUUCUGACGUUGAGGCACGAAAGCGUGGGGAGCAAACAGGAUUAGAUACCCGUGUAGUC